UACGUAGGGUGCAAGCGUUAAUCGGAAUUACUGGGCGUAAAGCGUGCGCAGGCGGUUGAUGCAAGACAGAAUCGGUGAAAAUCCCCGGGGCUUAACCUUGGGAAUUGCAUUUGUGACUGCACGGCUAGGAGUGUGUCAGAGGGGGGUAGAAUUCCACGUGUAGCAGUGAAAUGCGUAGAUAUGCGGAGGAACACCGAUGGCGAAGGCAAUCCCCUGGGCCUGUAACUGACGCUCGAUGCACGAAAGCGUGGGGAGCAAACAGG
rnacentral:rRNA from 1 species